GGGCACUGAAAAGGUGUAGGGCCUUUGUUGUGGCAUGAUGUUCAUCUCCUCUGGAAGUUCAGCCUUCAGCAGCUGUGUGGGGACUUGUGCCACAUCUGACAGUACUUGGCUGCUAGGGGAAAUGAUGCUACUUGGGCAGCAGCUUUCUGGUCUUCUCCCUUGGUUGAAAGCUAGGAGCCACCUUCGUGCUCUACAGCAUGGCUGACAAGCUUUAGUGGCCUUUCAGGUGUGCUUAAAAGCAAGAUGGAUUAUGAAAAUGUGUGCCACAACUUAUUGGCAUGUAUCCCUGAAACAGGAACAUGUGAGAUGAGAAACUCUUCAUAUGGCAAGAUUACCAUGCCAAGUCUUUACUCUUUGAAGAUGUCAUUAAAACCACCUCAAAGUACCUUUGCCUCACACAAUGUUAUUUUUGGGAAUUGUUUAAAUGGGAAAAUAUGGAACCUGGUGCCUGGAUACUUUGUAUCAUUAAUUGUUUAUUGC
rnacentral:lncRNA from 14 species